rnacentral:rRNA from 1 species
UACGAGUGCCUCAAGCGUUAUCCGGAAUUAUUGGGCGUAAAGGUUGUGUAGGUGGUUGUAUUAGUCUUCUGUUAAAUUCUUCGGCUUAACCGGGCGAGGUCGGCGGAAACUGUUCGACUUGAGGACGGUAGAGGGGGGUGGAAUUCCCGGUGUAGUGGUGAGAUGCGUAGAGAUCGGGAGGAACACCUGUGGCGAAGGCGGCCCCCUGGGCCGGCCCUGACACUGAGACGCGAAGGCGUGGGGAGCGAACGGG